rnacentral:rRNA from 1 species
CCUACGGGUGGCAGCAGUGAGGAAUAUUGGUCAAUGGGCUUACGCCUGAACCAGCCAAGUCGCGUGAGGGAAGACUGCCCUAUGGGUUGUAAACCUCUUUUGUCAGGGAGCAACGCCGGCUACGUGUAGCCGGACUGAGAGUACCUGAAGAAAAAGCAUCGGCUAAUCCCGUGCAAACAGCCGCGGUAAUACGGAGGAUGCGAGCGUUAUCAGGAUUUAUUGGGUUUAAAGGGUGCGUAGGCGGAAUGCCAAGUCAGCGGUAAAAUCGCGGGGCUCAACCUCGCUCCGCCGUUGAAACUGGCGGUCUUGAGUGGGCGAGAGGUAUGCGGAAUGCGUGGGGUAGCGGUGAAAUGCAUAGAUAUCACGCAGAACUCCGAUUGCGAAGGCAGCAUACCGGCGCCCAACUGACGCUGAAGCACGAAAGCGUGGGUAUCGAACAGGAUUAGAUACCCCUGUAGUC